rnacentral:rRNA from 1 species
AGGGGAUCGCAAGACCUUGCGCUUUUGGAGCGGCCGAUGUCUGAUUAGCUAGUUGGUGAGGUAAAGGCUUACCAAGGCUUCGAUCAGUAGCUGGUCUGAGAGGACGACCAGCCACACUGGGACUGAGACACGGCCCAGACUCCUACGGGAGGCAGCAGUGGGGAAUUUUGGACAAUGGGGGCAACCCUGAUCCAGCCAUGCCGCGUGAGUGAAGAAGGCCUUCGGGUUGUAAAGCUCUUUCAGCCGGAACGAAACGGUCACGGUUAAUAACUGUGAUCACUGACGGUACCGGAAGAAGAAGCACCGGCUAACUACGUGCCAGCAGCCGCGGUAAUACGUAGGGUGCGAGCGUUAAUCGGAAUUACUGGGCGUAAAGCGUGCGCAGGCGGUUUUGUAAGUCAGAUGUGAAAUCCCCGGGCUUAACCUGGGAACUGCGUUUGAAACUACA